rnacentral:tRNA from 1 species
UAUGCAUGGGUGUGUGAUGCACCUCAAAUUUUGAAUUUGAAGGUUUAAGUUUGAUUCUUAAAUGUAUAG